rnacentral:rRNA from 1 species
UACGUAGGGUGCGAGCGUUGUUCGGAAUUACUGGGCGUAAAGGGCGCGUAGGCGGCUCUGUGCGUCGGGCGUGAAAGGCCUGGGCUCAACCCAGGAAUGGCGCUCGAUACGGCGGAGCUCGAGUGUGGGAGAGGAUGGUGGAAUUCCCAGUGUAGAGGUGAAAUUCGUAGAUAUUGGGAAGAAUACCAGAGGCGAAGGCGGCUACCUGGACAAUUGCUGACGCUCAGGCACGAAAGCGUGGGGAGCAAAAGGG